rnacentral:rRNA from 1 species
UACGUAGGGUCCGAGCGUUGUCCGGAAUUACUGGGCGUAAAGAGCUCGUAGGUGGUUUGUCGCGUUGUCCGUGAAAACUCACAGCUCAACUGUGGGCGUGCGGGCGAUACGGGCAGACUGGAGUACUGCAGGGGAGACUGGAAUUCCUGGUGUAGCGGUGGAAUGCGCAGAUAUCAGGAGGAACACCGGUGGCGAAGGCGGGUCUCUGGGGCAGUAACUGACGCUGGAGGAGCG